UUGGAGGGCAAGUUCUGGUGCCAGCAGCCGCGGUAAUUCCAGCUCCAAUAGCGUAUAUUAAAGUUGUUGCAGUUAAAAAGCUCGUAGUUGAAUUUCGGGGUUAGUAGGUUGGUCAUGCCUCUGGUAUGUACUGGUCUCACUGAUUCCUCCUUCCUGAUGAAUCUUAAUGCCAUUAGUUUGGUGUUUUGGGGAAUUUGGACUGUUACUUUGAAAAAAUUAGAGUGUUUAAAGCAAGCUAACGCUUGAAUACAUUAGCAUGGAAUAAUGAAAUAGGACGUUCGAUCCUAUUUUGUUGGUUUCUAGGAUUGACGUAAUGAUUAAUAGGGAUAGUUGGGGGCAUUAGUAUUCAAUUGUCAGAGGUGAAAUUCUUGGAUUUAUUGAAGACUAACUACUGCGAAAGCAUUUGCCAAGGAUGUUUUCAUUAAUCAAGAACGAAAGUUAGGGGAUCGAAGACGAUCAGAUACCGUCGUAGUCUUAACCAUAAACUAUGCCGACUAGGGAUCGGAUGAUGUUAAUUUUUUAAUGACUCAUUCGGCGCCUUACGGGAAACCAAAGUGUUUGGGUUC
rnacentral:rRNA from 1 species